ncrna:unclassified sequences NiCo riboswitch
ACAGUACGGACUGAGCAGGCGACGAACAGUGGUGUUCGUGAGGCCGGGCCGCAAUGAAAGUGGCAGCAGAUAGUAUUUAAACAUCUGCGGGACAGUU